CCCACACUGCGACACCUCUCUCUAUCCUUCCCCAUUCCUCUUCCUCCCACUCCUCUUCCUCUUCCACCCACGCCCGACCAGUCCCAUCCGCCGUCGCGCGCUCCCGAUCCGGAGGAGCAGAUCAUCCCACGCCCGAGCCCGCUGAACCCAGCCUAGCUCCCGCGCCCACCGCCCCUGUGCAGGUCCGCCUCUUCAGAGAUCCACAUCGUGCCGCCGCCAGUUCAGGAUCCAACCUCAGCGCCUCCUGGCUAGGCUUGAGGAACGAAUGCCGGGAGAGCCUUCGCCACGCCGGUGGUAGCGGCGGCGAGGCCAACGCGCCGACAACCACUGUUCAAGGGGGCAUGCAGGAUGUGCUUCCGCAUCACCCUCUCCUCCACUCCAAGACGGCGGCCUCGGACGGGGCAGGAAUUGGAUAACACGUCCACCACCUGAUCGAGCGCAACCGCAACAGAGGAACGCCACCUCUGCCUCGUCGUGCAGGAGAUGCUUCACUAGGGCCGAAGUCAAUGUGUCGGAGCAGGUGCUUCGGGGCGGCUGGGUUUGUCUACAGGUCUGUCCUUUUUGUGUUGAAUUUGAGCACAACUAGUCUGGUUUUGUUUUAGCCUCAUUUGUCUUGAGAUGAACAAAUUCACAUAUAUAUUUCCAGUGUGAUGCGAGGCACAUGUUAAUUCAGUUACACGUAGUCUUUGAUUUAUUUGUACUUUGUUUAGCAUUCAGGUAUGUUUGUUUGUUUGAAAUAUUUGAAAAUUUGUGCCAAGGUGCCCAUAUAAGUGCUGAUUAUUCAGUAAGUCAAUAGACAAGAAAUUGCAUACCUUGUUUUUUGAUGAUGAUGGAAGUGAUAAUUUUGGUGU